rnacentral:rRNA from 1 species
UAUAAGACUGGGAUAACUUCGGAACCGGAGCUAAUACCGGAUAAUAUAUUGAACCGCAUUGUUCAAUAGUGAAAGACGGUUUUGCUGUCACUUAUAGAUGGAUCCGCGCUGCAUUAGCUAGUUGGUAAGGUAACGGCUUACCAAGGCAACGAUGCGUAGCCGACCUGAGAGGGUGAUCGGCCACACUGGAACUGAGACACGGUCCAGACUCCUACGGGAGGCAGCAGGG